rnacentral:lncRNA from 1 species
AAACUUCCUGUCCUGAUCUCGCCGAGCUAAAUAAGUUCAGAAGUUCCUCAUCUUGCCUUUGAAUCCUAUUUUCGCCGAGCUGAACAAGAACAAAAGCGGAUCAAGCAAGGUUUGCUUCUUGGUGUGGCUAUUUCAUCCUCUUCACUUAUUUUCUGACGUUAUGUUGUGAGAGUAGUUCUUGAAGAAUUUUUCAAGAUUUUAGCAUAUAGAGUAUACUAAGGAUUUGCUAAAUUUGGACAUCCAUUAUAGGUUCCAUGCAAAGCUGUUAUUCCCCGAUCAGACGCUCCUUUACUUGUACAAGUAUGGAGGCAGCAAGCUUGUCAGCAUG